UAAAGGAGCGCUCGCAGAUUUCUACACAUUUCUAUUAGUUGGACUGUGAGGAGCCAUCCGUUACUUUAAAGAACUUAUCCAGUUAUUUAGUCUGACAGACCACGCAAGCAAGUUAGUUAGUGAGGCCCUAUUGCCACCGAAGCUGCUGCAGAAGAAAAGCGCAGGAGCGGAAGGCGGAAUCCCAUAUCCAGGAACAGCACCCGUAACAGCAGCUCCAGGAGAAAUGUCUCUAAGAGACUGGAGCAGUUCUAUCGCAAAGUGGAGCAGGAAUCUCAUAGGGACCUGGAGAUGCUGAAGCACCUGAAGGAGCAAAAUCUCCAAGUUCUACGCUUGGCCGUGGUCCGGUAGGAAGGAGGGAGACUGGGAAUGUGCUGUUGGUGUGUGUUUGUGUGUACGGCACCAGAAUGACUGCACCCCAAUGAACAGAAGUCUGUACCCCUAGAGUGUAUGAGCAACUGAAGCAUCAACCAAAAUGGAAAUCACUUGGUGCUAAGGCCAACUUAAAGGGCUGAAACAAUAUUGGCCUUUAAAUUAAAUUGUAGCAUUAAUACAGUAGCACAGUUUGCAGUUGUUCUUCAUUUAUUUAUGGUUUGCAGUUUUGAAAUAAUCUAGCAUUCUCCUAAUGAACCGCACGGUGUCUGACAAGGAAGUGCCACUCAUUUACCCUCUUUAUGAAAUGGACACAAAACAUUUUAAUUGGAUUAAAAGAUCACAAAUAUUUCAUAUUAAACUAAUGUCCUUUGCUAUAUUGUAUGUACAUCAUCAUAUAGAUUCCCUUUAACACAAGGGAUUAAAAUACAAAAGUAUUGUCAGGCCUUUUUUCCCUUCACUCAAAUGUGACCCACUGUAGAUUUCAUGUUGCUGGCAGGAGGUAACCCCAUUGUGGACAACAUGGAAUCUACAUUAAAUCAAGCAAUAUAAUCAGUAUGUGCUUCCUAUAUUAGAUAAUAUCCCACCAACCGAAAGUUUUCCUCAUAGCAGUUUGACUUAUAACUUAAGAGGUGUCCUGUAAAAGUCUCUAAAUAGCUGAUCAUUUAACCAUUGAGGGCUCACCGUUUGCUAACGAAUUCAGCUUUAUAGAGGUAACUGCUCCAAAGAAUUGUAUUUAGAAAUAAUUACAGCAAUUUUUUUUUUCAUGACUGUGACAUGUAAGUAGUUUAUGUCAUAUAACAUUUUUGUUAACCUUUAGAUUUCUUGUAUAUUUAGUGAAAGAUAGAAAUGAUCCUAAAGCUUCAGUGGUAAUAUAAAGUCACAUUUACAAACAUCUACAUAUAUUUCCCAUUACGUUUUAAAAGUAACUAAGAUACAAUAUAAAAAUUGAAUUGUUUCCCAAAAAGAAAUCAUUUCUAUGCAUGUUUCUAUGUUAUACAUAGACAGAGAUUGGCAUUAUUGUCACAGAAAGUAAACUCAGCAGCCUUUUUAUUCUGUCGAUGUCCAUAUGAAGUCCUGUAAUAUUGCUGUCCAGCUUGACCUAUUGUUUUUAUACAAAAUACCCACAAAUGGUUUGGAAAUGAGUAACACCAGAGUAGUAAAUGUGGGUUCAUUGUAGCUAUGCAUUUGCAGGAAUACAGGCACGUGAAUGUUUCAAUAUUUUCUUUUAAUAAAAUAACUUUUUGGUAAAUUACACAUUAAUAUAGAAAAAAAUAAAAGAAAAAAUAUAAAAAUAUCCUUCACCGUCUGCUGAAUAAAAAGGUAAAAAAUUGGAAAGUCGACCAAUGAAUUUUUAUGCACAGAUUAACUUGCCCCCCUUGCCCCAC